AACGCUAGCUACAGGCUUAACACAUGCAAGUCGAGGGGCAGCAUGGUCUUAGCUUGCUAAGGCCGAUGGCGACCGGCGCACGGGUGAGUAACACGUAUCCAACCUGCCGUCUACUCUUGGACAGCCUUCUGAAAGGAAGAUUAAUACAAGAUGGCAUCAUGAGUCCGCAUGUUCACAUGAUUAAAGGUAUUCCGGUAGACGAUGGGGAUGCGUUCCAUUAGAUAGUAGGCGGGGUAACGGCCCACCUAGUCUUCGAUGGAUAGGGGUUCUGAGAGGAAGGUCCCCCACAUUGGAACUGAGACACGGUCCAAACUCCUACGGGAGGCAGCAGUGAGGAAUAUUGGUCAAUGGGCGAGAGCCUGAACCAGCCAAGUAGCGUGAAGGAUGACUGCCCUAUGGGUUGUAAACUUCUUUUAUAAAGGAAUAAAGUCGGGUAUGGAUACCCGUUUGCAUGUACUUUAUGAAUAAGGAUCGGCUAACUCCGUGCCAGCAGCCGCGGUAAUACGGAGGAUCCGAGCGUUAUCCGGAUUUAUUGGGUUUAAAGGGAGCGUAGAUGGAUGUUUAAGUCAGUUGCGAAAGUUUGCGGCUCAACCGUAAAAUUGCAGUUGAUACUGGAUAUCUUGAGUGCAGUUGAGGCAGGCGGAAUUCGUGGUGUAGCGGUGAAAUGCUUAGAUAUCACGAAGAACUCCGAUUGCGAAGGCAGCCUGCUAAGCUGCAACUGACAUUGAGGCUCGAAAGUGUGGGUAUCAAACAGGAUUAGAUACCAUGGUAGUCCACACGGUAAACGAUGAAUACUCGCUGUUUGCGAUAUAAUGCAAGCGGCCAAGUGAAAGCGUUAAGUAUUCCACCUGGGGAGUACGCCGGCAACGGUGAAACUCAAAGGAAUUGACGGGGGCCCGCACAAGCGGAGGAACAUGCGGUUUAAUUCGAUGAUACGCGAGGAACCUUACCCGGGCUUAAAUUGCAGAUGAAUUACGGUGAAAGCCGUAAGCCGCAAGGCAUCUGUGAAGGUGCUGCAUGGUUGUCGUCAGCUCGUGCCGUGAGGUGUCGGCUUAAGUGCCAUAACGAGCGCAACCCUUGUUGUCAGUUACUAACAGGUUCCGAUGAGGACUCUGACAAGACUGCCAUCGUAAGAUGUGAGGAAGGUGGGGAUGACGUCAAAUCAGCACGGCCCUUACGUCCGGGGCUACACACGUGUUACAAUGAGGGGUACAGAGGGCCGCUACCACGCGAGUGGAUGCCAAUCCCCAAAACCUCUCUCAGUUCGGACUGGAGUCUGCAACCCGACUCCACGAAGCUGGAUUCGCUAGUAAUCGCGCAUCAGCCACGGCGCGGUAAAUACGUUCCCGGGCCUUGUACACACCGCCCGUCAAGCCAUGGGAGCCGGGGGUACCUGAAGUGCGUAACCGCGAGGAGCGCCCUAGGGUAAAACUGGUGACUGGGGCUAA
rnacentral:rRNA from 1 species